UACGUAGGGUGCAAGCGUUGUCCGGAAUUAUUGGGCGUAAAGAGCUCGUAGGCGGUCUGUUGCGUCGGCUGUGAAAACCCGGGGCUCAACUCCGGGCCUGCAGCCGAUACGGGCAGACUAGAGUUCGGCAGGGGAGACUGGAAUUCCUGGUGUAGCGGUGAAAUGCGCAGAUAUCAGGAGGAACACCGAUGGCGAAGGCAGGUCUCUGGGCAUUAACUGACGCUGAGGAACGAAAGCAUGGGGAGCGAACAGG
rnacentral:rRNA from 1 species